AGAGUUUGAUCAUGGCUCAGGAUGAACGCUAGCUACAGGCUUAACACAUGCAAGUCGAGGGGCAGCAUGUUGGUUGCUUGCAACCAAUGAUGGCGACCGGCGCACGGGUGAGUAACGCGUAUCCAACCUACCCUUGUCCAUCGGAUAACCCGUCGAAAGGCGGCCUAACACGAUAUGCGGUUCUCAGCAGGCAUCUAACGAGAACGAAAUGUGAAGGAGAAGGAUGGGGAUGCGUCUGGAUUAGCUUGGUUGGCGGGGUAACGGCCACCAAGGCGACGAUCAGUAGGGGUCUGAGAGGAGUCCCCANAUUGGAACUGAGACACGGUCCAAACUCCGUAGGGAGGCA
rnacentral:rRNA from 1 species